UUCCGGUUGAUCCCGCCGGACCCCACUGCUAUCGAGGUGGGACUUAGCCAUGCUAGUCGAACGAACAGAACUAUGUCUGUAAGUGGCAUACUGCUCAGUAACACGUAGCUAACCUACCCUUAGGACGUGGAUACCCCCGAGAAAUUGGGGUUAAUCCGCGAUAGAUGUAAUGUCCUGGAAUGGUAUUACGUCUAAAGGUAUUUCAUACAUGUUUGAAAUAUGCCUAAGGAUGGGGCUGCGGCCGAUCAGGCUGUUGGUGAGGUAAUGGCUCACCAAACCUUUGACCGGUACGGGCCAUGAGAGUGGUAGCCCGGAGAUGGACACUGAGACAAGGGUCCAGGCCCUAAGGGGCGCAGCAACCGCGAAACCUCCACAAUGCACUCACGUGCGAUGGGGCUAUCUCGAGUGCCACCUGAUGAAGGUGGCUUUUCCUUGGCCUUCAAAGCCUUGGGAAUAAGAGGGGGGCAAGACUGGUGUCAGCCGCCGCGGUAACACCAGCCCCUCGAGUGGUGGGGAUGUUUAUUUGGCCUAAAGCGUCCGUAGCCGGCCGUGAAAGUCUUCCGUUAAAUCCAGCGUCUCAAGCGUUGGACCGCGGGAGAUACUACAUGGCUAGAGAGUGGGAGAGGUCAGCGGUAUUCUGGGGGUAGGGGCGAAAUCCUUUGAUCCCCGGAGGACCACCAGUGGCGAAGGCUGCUGACUAGAACACGUCUGACGGUCAGGGACGAAAGCUGGGGUAGCGAACCGGAUUAGAUACCCGGGUAGUCCCAGCCGUAAACGAUGCAUGCUAGGUGUUGGGUUGGCCACGAGCCACCCCAGUG
rnacentral:rRNA from 1 species